CCUACGUGAGGCAGCAGUGGGGAAUAUUGCACAAUGGGGGGAACCCUGAUGCAGCGACGCCGCGUGAGUGAAGAAGUAUUUCGGUAUGUAAAGCUCUAUCAGCAGGGAAGAAAAUGACGGUACCUGACUAAGAAGCCCCGGCUAACUACGUGCCAGCAGCCGCGGUAAUACGUAGGGGGCAAGCGUUAUCCGGCUUUACUGGGUGUAAAGGGAGCGCAGACGGCUGUGCAAGUCUGGAGUGAAAGGCGGGGGCCCAACCCCCGGACUGCUCUGGAAACUGUAAAGCUGGAGUGCAGGAGAGGUAAGCGGAAUUCCUAGUGUAGCGGUGAAAUGCGUAGAUAUUAGGAGGAACACCAGUGGCGAAGGCGGCUUACUGGACUGCAACUGACGUUGAGGCUCGAAAGCGUGGGGAGCAAACAGGAUUAGAUACCCCAGUAGUC
rnacentral:rRNA from 1 species